UACUUGUUAGCUGAAUUGGUAGAGCGCUCCCCUGGAAACGGAGAGGUCCCUGGUUCGAUGCGAGGACCAGAUA
rnacentral:tRNA from 1 species